rnacentral:rRNA from 1 species
GGGCGAAAGCCUGACGGAGCAAUACCGCGUGAGGGAGGAAGGCUCCUGGGGUGUAAACCUUUUUUUUCAGGGAAGGACACAAUGACGGUACCCGAGGAAUCAGCAUCGGCUAACUCCGUGCCAGCAGCCGCGGUAAUACGGAGGAUGCAAGCGUUAUCCGGAAUGAUUGGGCGUAAAGCGUCCGCAGGUGGCUGUGUAAGUCUGCUGUCAAAGAGCGAAGCUCAACCUCGUACAGGCAGUGGAAACUACUCAGCUAGAGUGCGGUAGGGGCAGAGGGAAUUCCUGGUGUAGCGGUGAAAUGCGUAGAGAUCAGGAAGAACACCGGCGGCGAAGGCGCUGUG